rnacentral:rRNA from 1 species
GACGAACGCUGGCGGCGUGCUUAACACAUGCAAGUCGAACGGAAAGGCCCUGCUUUUGUGGGGUGCUCGAGUGGCGAACGGGUGAGUAACACGUGAGUAACCUGCCCUUGACUUUGGGAUAACUUCAGGAAACUGGGGCUAAUACCGGAUCGGAUCUCCUGCUGCAUGUUGGUGGUUGGAAAGUUUCGGCGGUUGGGGAUGGACUCGCGGCUUAUCAGCUUGUUGGUGGGGUAGUGGCUUACCAAGGCUUUGACGGGUAGCCGGCCUGAGAGGGUGACCGGAAACAAGGGGACAGAGAGACGGACCAGAGUCCAACGGGAGGAAGGAGUGGGGAAUAUUGCAGAAUGGGGGGAAGCAUGAUGAAGAAACGCAGGGAGCGGGAUGACGGCAUUAGGGUUGGAAAAAGAUUUAGCCUGAGACGAAGCGUGAGUGACGGUAAUGGGUAAAGAAGCACCGGCUAACUACGUG